rnacentral:rRNA from 1 species
GUGCCAGCAGCCGCGGUAAUACGAAGGGGGCUAGCGUUGUUCGGAAUUACUGGGCGUAAAGCGCACGUAGGCGGAUAUUUAAGUCAGGGGUGAAAUCCCAGAGCUCAACUCUGGAACUGCCUUUGAUACUGGGUAUCUCGAGUAUGGAAGAGGUGAGUGGAAUUGCGAGUGUAGAGGUGAAAUUCGUAGAUAUUCGCAGGAACACCAGUGGCGAAGGCGGCUCACUGGUCCAUUACUGACGCUGAGGUGCGAAAGCGUGGGGAGCAAACAGGAUUAGAUAC